AGGUGAACCUGCGGAGGGAUCAUUACACAAAUAUGAAGGCGGGCUGGAACCUUUCGGGGUUACAGCCUUGCUGAAUUAUUCACCCUUGUCUUUUGCGUAMUUCUUGUUUCCUUGGUGGGUUCGCCCACCACUAGGACAAACAUAAACCUUUUGUAAUUGCAAUCAGCGUCAGUAACAAAUUAAUAAUUACAACUUUCAACAACGGAUCUCUUGGUUCUGGCAUCGAUGAAGAACGCAGCGAAAUGCGAUAAGUAGUGUGAAUUGCAGAAUUCAGUGAAUCAUUGAAUCUUUGAACGCACAUUGCGCCCUUUGGUAUUCCAAAGSGCAWGCCUGUUCGAGCGUCAUUUGUACCCUCAAGCUUUGCUUGGUGUUGGGCGUNUUGUUUCUAGCUUUGCUGGAGACUCGCCUUAAAGUAAUUGGCAGCCGGCCUACUGGUUUUGGAGCGCAGCCCAAGUCGCACUCUUUAUCAGCAAAGGUCUAGCAUCCAUUAASCCUUUUUUUUCAACUUUGACCUC
rnacentral:rRNA from 1 species